CAACUGAGAAUACCGGCGCCGGAGACAGCUGGGGCGCGUCAGCGCUUAAUCAUCCAGCCGAGGUGUCUGGGAUGAACUCUCUCGCGGCCGUUUUUCGACAUGACUGCGAAGGUAAACCCCAGCGCCUAUGGCGUUGGGGUAUUUUAUUGGAUCC
rfam:Nitrolancea hollandica Lb, WGS project CAGS01000000 data, contig: 00081-1568